rnacentral:rRNA from 1 species
GAAUUUUCCGCAAUGGGCGAAAGCCUGACGGAGCAAUACCGCGUGAGGGAUGAAUGCCCGUGGGUUGUAAACCUCUUUUUUCAGGGAAGAUGACGGUACCUGAAGAAUAAGCAUCGGCUAACUCCGUGCCAGCAGCCGCGGUAAUACGGGGGAUGCAAGCGUUAUCCGGAAUUACUGGGCGUAAAGCGUCUGUAGGUGGCUUGAUAAGUCUGCUGUUAAAUAUUGGGGCUCAACCCUAAGCAAGGAGCGGAAACUAUUAAGCUAGAGUAUGGUAUGGGUAGAGGGAAUUCCCAGUGUAGCGGUGAAAUGCGUAGAUAUUGGGAAGAACACCAGUAGCGAA